GACGAACGCUGGCGGCGUGCUUAACACAUGCAAGUCGAGCGGUAAGGCCCUUUCGGGGGUACACGAGCGGCGAACGGGUGAGUAACACGUGGGUGACCUGCCCUCAGCUCUGGGAUAAGCCUGGGAAACCGGGUCUAAUACCGGAUAUGACUCCAUGACGCAUGUUGUGGGGCGGAAAGCCUUGUGCGGCUGAGGAUGGGCCCGCGGCCUAUCAGCUUGUUGGUGGGGNGAUGGCCUACCAAGGCGACGACGGGUAGCCGGCCUGAGAGGGCGACCGGCCACACUGGGACUGAGACACGGCCCAGACUCCUACGGGAGGCAGCAGUGGGGAAUCUUGCGCAAUGGGCGAAAGCCUGACGCAGCGACGCCGCGUGAGGGAUGACGGCCUGGUGUAAC
rnacentral:rRNA from 1 species